UACGUAGGGUGCGAGCGUUGUCCGGAUUUAUUGGGCGUAAAGAGCUCGUAGGCGGCUCGGUAAGUCGGUUGUGAAACCUCCAGGCUCAACCUGGAGACGCCACCCGAUACUACCGUGGCUAGAGUCCGGUAGAGGAGCGUAGAAUUCCUGGUGUAGCGGUGAAAUGCGCAGAUAUCAGGAGGAAUACCAGCGGCGAAGGCGGCGCUCUGGGCCGGUACUGACGCUGAGGAGCGAAAGCGUGGGGAGCAAACAGG
rnacentral:rRNA from 1 species